UAUUUACUCCCCCAGCUGUAUUUAAGGAGAGAGGAGAGCACUUCAUGAACCAAACUGUUCCAAUGAGAGAUCUUGCUGUUUGAAAGGUCCCUGAUCCUCUGCAACCAUGAUCAAAUUGUUAAGUGUUGCCAUUGUUGCCGCAUUGUUCUUGGGUAGGUUAAUUAUAAAUAUUACAUGAUCAUAUUUGUAUUUCACCCGGAAUAUACAAA